rnacentral:misc_RNA from 1 species
UCCGGUUUGUCACCGGCAGUCUCCUUAGAGUUCCCGACUCUACUCGAUGGCAACUAAGGAUAAGGGUUGCGCUCGUUGCGGGACUUAACCCAACAUCUCACGACACGAGCUGACGACAGCCAUGCAGCACCUGUGUUCCGGCUCCCGAAGGCACCGUCCCAUCUCUGGAACAUUCCGGACAUGUCAAGACCAGGUAAGGUUCUUCGCGUUGCAUCGAAUUAAACCACAUACUCCACCGCUUGUGCGGGCCCCCGUCAAUUCCUUUGAGUUUCAGUCUUGCGACCGUACUCCCCAGGCGGCGAACUUAACGCGUUAGCUUCGACACUGAUCUCCGAGUUGAGACCAACGUCCAGUUCGCAUCGUUUAGGGCGUGGACUAC